GGGUCAGCUGAGGGCCGUGCAGGGGGCAGCUAAGAGGAGAGCACAGCUCGGACACCGUAGGACACCGAGAACUUCAGCUGCAGCUCCCACAGCCUUGGGAGAGGCUUCUUUGUCUUUAAGCCUAUUUACUCUUAAGUAAAUAGGAUUGUUACUGAGAUGAGGUCAUAUAAUAUGGAGCCAUGGAGCGCAAAGGCAGGGGCCGGGGUCCUGGCCACACCUAGCCUGACAGGAAGCUUGGUGAGCUGGGUCUCCCGGGUGGGCCCAGCCUUCUCUGUGAAUCAGCCUGGGAUGGAAGUCCUCUCGGUGGUCAGAGAG